rnacentral:rRNA from 1 species
GUAUUCCGCUCCAUAGCGUAUAUUAAAGUUGUUGCAGUUAAAAAGCUCGUAGUUGAAUUUCGGGGUCAGUAGGUUGGUCAUGCCACUGGUAUGUACUGGCCUCACUGAUUCCUCCUUCCUGAUGAGCCGUAAUGCCAUUAAUUUGGUGUUGCGAGGAAUCUGGACUGUUACUUUGAAAAAAUUAGAGUGUUUAAAGCAGGCUAACGCUUGAAUACAUUAGCAUGGAAUAAUGAAAUAGGACGUUCGAUCUUAUUUUGUUGGUUUCUAAGAUUGACGUAAUGAUUAAUAGGGAUAGUUGGGGGCAUUAGUAUUCAAUUGUCAGAGGUGAAAUUCUUGGAUUUAUUGAAGACUAACUACUGCGAAAGCAUUUGCCAAGGAUGUUUUCAUUAAUCAAGAACGAAAGUUAGGGGAUCGAAGACGAUCAGAUACCGUCGUAGUCUUAACCAUAAACUAUGCCGACUAGGGAUCGGAUGAUGUUAAUUUUUUAAUGACUCAUUCGGCACCUUACGGGAAACA